GAAAAGGCACCUAAUUUCUGCAACCCGAUCGGGAGCACGGCACAGUGCCUCCACGGAGGAAGGAAUCCUCCAUGUAGCCACAUAACACCUAUGAUGUAGCACCGGUUGCACCCCCGGUAGGUGUUCUGUGGGGGCACAGCACAGCGGCGUGGUUUGUUCAUUCUUGUGUUGAUCGGCGCAGCUCGACGCGCGUGUGUUUUGCGAUGAGCUCCAGAGGAGCGAAGUACCGAACGGUCCACGCGUACGGAAAACGGCGAAUGUCAUGGAAUAAGGGGAGAAAACGGGACACAGGAGCGAACUCCGCUGACCUCGCCGAGCAGAGAGAGCCGGUGCCCGCAGUAGAUCGGUAUAGCUCCUUCGUGUGCGACAGCGCGUCCACAGGCGCGUCCGUUUGCGCUGGUCACGGCCUGGCUGCGGGCCAUGUUGACGGCGCGUGUGGCGUUGAAGACUCGUCCCUCUGCAGUGCCGACAAAUCCGCGUGUGGUGUUGAUGUGUUCACGUGCCGAAUUAACGGGUACGCGUGCGCUGUUGACCGCGCUUCUGCGAGCAACCACAGAUGUUCGCGCUUCGAGUAUCCUACAGAGGAUUUCGGGACCAACACUCACUGAUGAAGAGAUUGCGCGGCGGGAAGAGACGCGAGCGGACACUUUGAACGCAACCCUGGUGACACAGAAAAAAUUUCAGCUACUCAACGAUGGCGAAAGUGACGAUGAUGUUGCUCCCGAGGCAUCAUUUUUUGUUGCAAACAAGGUGAUGAUGAAUAAGCUGCUGUCGAAAUUUCGCAGCCACCAGUGCGGGAGGGCCCCAGUUUGUCUUGAAACUGGACCUAAUCUUGGGCUCUCUACAAAAAUGGAAGUUAUAUGCGUCCACUAUGGUACAAUAAGUAAAAAGUGUUCGUCCCCAUAGAGGUGUGCUGGCCCUCAGUAGACCAACCCCUUUGAAAUUAAUGUACGUGCCGUGAGAGCUGUGCAGUCUGUGGGCAAAUAUCAAACUGCACUGAAUGAUGUUUUUUCCCACAUGGACAUAUCACAUUGGGGUUUACAUCACAAGUCAUACAGGAGGCUUCACUGCAAGCGUAGUCACCUUGCCACUGCAUCAGCAGCCACAGCAAUAGAGGCGGCAAGUGCCAAGAGAGUGUGACAGAUAUAUCAGGAUCUUGGAUGUGCCCCUGGGAACAUUGAUGUCAUUUAUAAUGGCACAUGGAUGACGAGGGGUCACACAAGCCACGUUGGUCUUGGCUGUGCCAUCGAGUUAUACUCUGGCCUUGUCCAGGACCACUGUUCUCUCCAACUACUGCCAGGGCUAUACUCUUGUACCAAAGCCUCAAGACUGUGGAUACUCGGAGUGGUAUGGAAAACACAAACUGCAGUGCAAAAAAACAAAAAACAAAAAAAAACACAGAAGCGAAUGCUGGGCAAAUGGAAACGAUUGCAGCAAAGACCACGUUUCAGCGGUCACUUAAAAAACAUCAGCUCUGCUAUACAAGCGUCCUUUGUGAUGGUGAUAGCCGCACCUUUCCCACCCCCAGUGAGUAUGGCUUCAUACCCAUUCACAAGCAAGAAUGUGUAAAUCGCGUUACGGAAAGAAUGGGCACAGCUUUGUGCAACCUCGUGAAAAACAAAACAAGAGCAAGGACUGAGAGAUCAGCAUGAGUGAAAGAGGCCGCCUCUCGCAAGGCCUAAUUAAAGAACUCACGGACUGUCAUAAAUAGGCUAUCAAAAGUAACUUAAAUGAUGUGCCUGCCAUGCAAAAGGCUAUCAUGGCUACUUUUCACCACAUCACAUUGACUGAUAAAGAGCCUCACCGUGAGCAUUGUCCAACUGGAGUCAGCUAAUGGUGCAAGUUUAAUGCUGUGGCAGCCUCAGAAGAACCAGCACCUGCACACUAGCUGCAGCUUCCUGCACAUGUUUGGGCAGGGCUGCUGCCUAUAUACAAGUAAGUGCCUUUCUGCUAGAAAACUUCUGGAAGGAUGCCAGCAAAGAACAACUCAAAACGCCAUCGAGUCACUAAAUGUUGUGAUUUGGUCGCUCCAGUCCAAAACACAGUUGGUGAGAGUGCUGUGGCAGAUGCAGUUUGCCGUUUUAAUGCUGGCUGGGGGGUAAAGCACUUCAAAAAAUUACCCAACAGCUUGGCUACACUCCAGGAACGUGCUGCCCGCGGCGGGCUGCUGAAAAGGAUGCACAGUGCAUCAAGAAGUCAACUAAAGUGCACUAAACUGCUCCAAGGAAGCGUAAAACUGACAUGAAGUCAAAAGAAAAUGCCUUCAAAGGCAAAGGACUACAUCACAGGCAGGUUAUUGGUGCGCAUAGCUAAUAUUAAACUGAUUUCAUGUAAUAAAACUUUGAGCUCCGUUU
rnacentral:lncRNA from 1 species